rnacentral:lncRNA from 1 species
AAAAACUUAAAACUGCCUCUAGAUGUAAAUGACUCUAAUUAGAUUCACGGAUUGUAGUUUUUUGAUGAAACAGUAGAUUGUAAUCUUCUGUGUCCCAAAAAAAAGAAAUUAGAAAAUAUUGUAAAGUUUUCUUUUCAAAAAAAAUGUAUCGUAAAGUUUAUGUAGUGGGAUUUAUUUGAACAAUUUGUUUUUGAUUUAUAUCAUAUACGUGAGUCGAGUUGUCUUGGUUCUAUGACAAAAUAUUACGUGUGUUUGCAGAAACUUUUCACCGAUUCAAUUUUUUUUCCGCAAUAAACUAAUUUUGUUCCACUGUUAUUUGAUCUAUUCGAAAAAGGUUCUUUUGAUGGCAAUAAAUCGAAAUAACCAUCUUCCGUGUUAAGUGGAGGUUCUCUCUCCUCUCCCUAGAGAGAGAGAAUUCUCUCUAAAACUACUCCCUUCUUCACAAAACUAAAUCAUUUAGAAGGGUGGAAAAAUCGUUUUGUUUUUUUGCUGUAAUAUAGUUUCGAUCUUAGGAUCGAUGUUCUUUUCCGAAUAGCGGAUAUAAAAUUUCGCGUAGGCGAUUUUUUUUUGCUUUUCAAACCAAAUUAGGAUCUGUUCUUCAUGUUCUUCGAUUUUAUUUUCCUGUUUGGUUUGAAAUUUAAUAAAAUCCUGAUCAUCUUUUGAUCGGUUUUAUCUUUACUUUCCACUUCGUUUCAAUUCUAAUCCCGUUGAUUUCUAAGCAGACACCUUCUUCACCGUUCACUUCAAUCUCUUUCACAGAGAAUCAGUCUUCACAAGAAAGAUUAGCCUUAAUUGGCAAAGGUGAAGCAUCUCUUCUUGAAAAAAGGAUCGAGUUUGAUAGAUUCUGAAGUCGAUUAUGAGAUGGAUUCAGAAGAGUCGGCGUUACUUUGACGGUCUGGCAAAGGGUCUUCUCUCGAUCAAACUUUAGCUUUCUCCGGCGUAAAUUACCGUGGAUAAAAGGCCUCUCUGGUUUAAGCAAUCAAGGUUAAGGUGGAAGGUAUACCAAGGAGUACAAGGUUAAGUGGAGUUAAGGUCGUGGCAGAGUGAAGCUUACGGCGGAAUCAAGCUUGUCGUGGAUUAUUGGAAGAAGCAUCGCCGGUUGGUUUGCGUCUUCGCCGGAGGUGAGAAGAAGCUUGGUGUCCUCACUUUACUCAGAUGAAUGCCACGUAGCAAGCCUAAUCUACAUGAGUGACACGUUUAUGUUCUGAAUUGCAAUAUCUUUUGAUAAGAUAUCGGUUGUGUAGUUGGGCCAAGAUCAAUAUUUGUAACUUGGCCUUUGUACUUUUUUAGUCCAUGAGGCUUAUAAAACUUGAGUCGACAAAAAAAAAAACCCAUCUUCCGUGUUUUUUGAUCAAACGAACCAUCUGUUGCCAAAAACGAACCAAAUGUUGCCAAAAAAAAAAAGAACAAAGGAACCAUCUUCUUAUUUAC